rnacentral:rRNA from 1 species
UUAAGGUUCGUUUGUUCACGAUUAAAGUCCUACGUGAUCUGAGUUCAGACCGGAGUAAUCCAGGUCAGUUUCUAUCUAUAAAAAAUUUUUUCUAGUACGAAAGGACCGAAAAAAUAGAGCCCAUUAUCAAACAAUGCUCUCACACAGUUGAAAACAAAUAAAACACGCACACACAAACACAUCCUAGAACAGGAUAAA